AGAUAAAGUCGCUGGGCCAGGUAAGCAGAUGCUGCUGGCAGGAGAGUAGUGGCCCUGCCUGGGGAUCCUGCUGGUCUUUUUUGUGGGGCUUCCCACCUCAAAUGUGUCAACCUGGGGCCUGCAGGAGACGAGCUGGAGAGACAAGACGGCCUCACGGUCACGGUCAUCUCACUCUGCGGGAGAUGGUGGAAAGGAACUAGACUGGCUGGGAGCCAUUCUGCAGGCAUCCCUGUCAAGAUGGAAUACACCAGACUUUGGCAAGGGCAGUAAUGCUAUCACCCCAGCAGGAAGAGCCUUGGACCGGCAGCAAACAAGGGAGACAUCCUCCCAGGCUGGGCAACGGUGGCCAUGUUCAGCCAUGGAAAUGUGUUCUCUGGAAAGAGUGGGCACCAGCUACUUGGCAGGAGCAGCGAAAGUUCUUCCGUUGGCCAGAAGGAUUGAGGUACCAAAGGCAUUAAUAACUUCCAUUAACUGAAGAAUCAAGAGGUAUCCUUCCUAUGCAUGUGUACAAAUAAGGAAAGUACAGUACAAAGAAAUACUUGCCCUCUCUGAACAUGUUGGAAGACACCAAUGGCACCUGCCCUAGUUUGCCAGCAUCGUCACCUGCUGGGAAGGGCUGUCCUCCACAACAAACACCUUGUCUACAGAACUAUAUAAUACAGCGUGGCAGCCACAAGUACUUAUAUGACCUUAGACUAACUUGUCCCAUACCAGUCUAAUUAUCUCCUGGCCAGUAGGACAUAUAUCAUCACUGGCAACCCCUAAGUUGGCUGUUAGAUUGUCGCCAGUAGGAAAAAAUAAAAGCUACCCAUAUGUA